CUCGCUUGGAUGAGCCUCGGUGUGCUGCUGUCCAUCCUGAUGGCGUCAGGACUGGUUGCCAUCCUGUCUCUGCUCUGCUGUCUGUUAAGAUGUCUAAAAUCUGGAUCGGACCAGGACAAGAGGAAGGACGCUGCUGUGUUCAACUAUGGAGAGAAAGAGGGCCAGAAAGUGUCCAGAGUAUAGCUGAUGAUACCGUCCUCACAUCGUACCGACCAUCCUCACAUCGUACCGACCGUCCUCACAUCGUACCGACCGUCCUCACAUCGUACCGACCGUCCUCACAUCGUACCGACCGUCCUCACAUCGUACCGACCGUCCUCACAUCGUACCGACCGUCCUCACAUCGUACCGACCGUCCUCACAUCGUACCGACCGUCCUCACAUCGUACCGACCGUCCUCACAUCGUACCGUCCGUACCCAUAUCGUACAGACCUCCUGUCCUCAACAUGUGAAGAAACCUGAGGAACCAGCACACAGUCCUGAAAAUGAACCAUCAGUUCACCUCCUCAUCCCACAAAGGCCGACUACACUACACAGAAUUUACAGUGUAAAUCAUUCACUUCCUGGUUUUGACCCUCUGACAUAGAAUAUAUUACUGGUUGUAUGAAAGGGAACAUUAUAAACACAUUGCACGAUGGGUAUAUUUAGAUCAGAGGAUGAAGGAGUCUGUGUCUCAAGUAGCACCCUGUUCCCUUUAUAGUGCACUUAUUUUGACCAGAUCCCAUAGGGGAUAGGCUGUCAUUUGGAAUGUCAAGAAGGGUGCAUGCAGCAGCUCUCACGCUUUGGACAUCCGCCUUCAGUAUUUCUCUCCUGCCAGUUAAACUCCCUUUUUCAUUUGUUGUUGACAGACCAAGGCUGACAGAACUUUGGAACUUGAGAAUCCUUUGAGUUCCGAGUGAAGAGGGGACAGGAAGGCAUGGGGUGUGUUAUUACAACGGGGCAGGCAGAGAGGGUACAGCUGAGGGUACAGUCCCCGUCAUAGUUCACCCGCCCGACACAAAGCGUGUCGAGAUUCUGAGACAGUGACAGUGCCAUGUGAAGCGGUCUAGUUCUAGGACUAGAGGUUCUCAGCAGACAGAGGCCAAGCUAGGCUAGCUGUGGAGACCAGGGUGUUAAAUUGAGAUUCUAAGGUCAACUAACCAGAACAUGGCUCAGAGAUUCUCUCACACAGUAACAAUGCCAUGUGAAGCGGUCUAGUUCUAGGGCUAGAGGUUCUCAGCAGACAGAGGCCAAGCUAGGCUAGCUGUGGAGACCAGGGUGUUAAAUUGAGAUUCUAAGGUCAACUAACCAGAACAUGGCUCAGAGAUUCUCUCACACAGUAACAAUGCCAUGUGAAGCGGUCUAGUUCUAGGGCUAGAGGUUCUCAGCAGACAGAGGCCAAGCUAGGCUAGCUGUGGAGACCAGGGUGUUAAAUUGAGAUUCUAAGGUCAACUAACCAGAACAUGGCUCAGAGAUUCUCUCACACAGUAACAAUGCCAUGUGAAGCGGUCUAGUUCUAGGGCUAGAGGUUCUCAGCAGACAGAGGCCAAGCUAGGCUAGCUGUGGAGACCAGGGUGUUAAAUUGAGAUUCUAAGGUCAACUAACCAGAACAUGGCUCAGAGAUUCUCUCACACAGUAACAAUGCCAUGUGAAGCUUCUAGGCAGCCAGUGCUUCCAAUAAAACAACAGGGGAGAGUGGGGGAAGGU